GUUAGCAUCUCGAUAUCGAGAUGGUUUUACACAUAUGGAUGAACAGGUUUGAGUUUCUUGUGUUACCGCGUCCUUUUCUCGUUUUUAGCUUGAAUUGUUUAAAUAACUUGAUGCAUUGUAUGCUUCCUGCUGUAUGGGGGUGGGUGGGUGACAUGCUGACUGCAGAAUGAGGUGUCAGACAACAUUGACUGUCGUGUGUGCAUGAGUGCUGUGUAAUGAGUGUAAUUGCUGUUAGUAAACAUCUAUCAAAACAGACCGCAGUCGUGGUACACUUAGUCCAAGUACCAUUACGACGACACAAAGAUCAACUAACAAUUGACUCUCAGUGUGGCUUAAAUCAACAGCAGCUAUGUAUAUGCCGUUAUUGCGAUACAACACAGUUCACAGCCAGUUCAAAUUACCAAUAAUUAAAGCCUGGCAUAUUUUCAGAUCGCAGGGAUCAAAAAUAUCUUCGAAAUAGAGUGGUUAUUACAGGAAUAUUGUAACCACGGACAGUCGAGAUUAUGUGAGCCAUUGCUAGUUAUUUUAACCUCUCUAUCGCAUUUUAAGCCUACUGUCUCAAUGUUCUCUGCACGCUGCAUGUUAGAAUAACCUCAAAAAGCUUCAUCUUUAUUUUCUGAACACGGUAAUUUGUAAAGAACUGCAUGAACUUUAUACCUGUAUAGAAUUAACAUUUAUUAAUAAAAGACCACUACUAACAUGCUGUGAAACGUUUGAAAUGUACUUUCGUUCCAUGUAUCCUGACUUCUUUUCUAUAUUGUCAGUAAUUUGACGAUGCAAAAAUAUAAAAUGUGAUUUUAUCUCUUGUAAAAUAAUAUACCUCUUUUUUGUAUUGCUAACUGUCUUCUCCUUCUGUUCCCAUUGCUCUAGUGACGACUGAAAGUAAAGAGACAGCACUGAAACAACAGUCUGAGAUGCUUCUGAACGACAUGAACCGGCUUCACUCAAAUUCGUAGUCAAAUGAGACGCGACUUCUGCUACAUCAAAUCUGCUAAACCAAUGGAACAGAAGUGUUUAAAACCAAUUAGAAAAAAAAAUAUCCGCCAAACCUGCACGGUCGUCGAGUUUAGACAUUUCAUUUAGAUCGUGAAACUCUCGGAAUGUAGAUUACCAAUUAAGUAAGCUCGCGUGAACCCUUGCCAUGACGUGUUAUUUCAUCUUAAGUUAUGGGGUUCAAUCGUGCUAUGUUGACCAUUGUUAUGGCGUCUUGAUUUUAUAUAGCUCGUGUUGAUAGAGAUAAUUUAUUGUUUUUGAUAGGUAAUGGUUUUCAGUA